rnacentral:rRNA from 1 species
UGGGGAAUAUUGGACAAUGGGCGAAAGCCUGAUCCAGCCAUGCCGCGUGAGUGAUGAAGGCCUUAGGGUUGUAAAGCUCUUUCGUCAGGGAAGAUAAUGACGGUACCUGAAGAAGAAGCCCCGGCUAACUUCGUGCCAGCAGCCGCGGUAAUACGAAGGGGGCUAGCGUUGCUCGGAAUCACUGGGCGUAAAGCGCACGUAGGCGGCUUUCUAAGUCAGGGGUGAAAUCCUGGAGCUCAACUCCAGAACUGCCUUUGAUACUGGAGAGCUUGAGUUCGGGAGAGGUGAGUGGAACUGCGAGUGUAGAGGUGAAAUUCGUAGAUAUUCGCAAGAACACCAGUGGCGAAGGCGGCUCACUGGCCCGAUACUGACGCUGAGGUGCGAAAGCGUGGGGAGCAAACA